CUCAUUUGUAUUAAUUGUUACAGGAAAAUAAACUCACAACAAGAUCAUUAUUUAUCAUAAGUUCAUGGCGAGCCAAUUACAGAAAAUAGCUUGCGGUUGUGAGUGCUACAGAAGGUGUGAGUGCUACAGAAGGUGUAAAUGGUACAGGGCAAUGGUUACUUGCAUAGUGGCGUAUUUUGUUUAGACAUGUAGCUAGCUGGAUAACUAGCUAAACAAUAAACCAUAUUCCCAACUCCUAACGUUACUGUCCUGCAUCCAGGUUCAAUGUUAGCUAGCUAGCUAACAUUAGGCUAUAACUCGCAAUACAAAUGGCUCUGAGAUACAGAUCAUACAUGUAACGUUAGCUAGCUACAGUAGCUAACAGUACGCGUUACCUGAAAACGACUUUCUGACUAAAUUAAAAAUGUGUAAUAUCUGAAUGCAGCUAGCUAGACUCUUCCCCGUAUUACAUGGAUGAAAGUUUCUCUCUGUCACGGUUGCCAUGGUUGUCCUUAGUUUGAAGAUGUCAUCUGGAGACAGGUUUUAUACAAGAGACCAGACCGUGUUCUCUUUUCGACUCCCUCUGCAUAUUUGCAAACAAAUGGCAGAAUUUUCUCCAUCUCCUAAAAUUGUUAUUCGUAUUUACAGAUAGCAUCCAAGUUUGUUUUAAGGCACAUGAAAGUUCACAUGUUCCAGAAGGCAUUUCUGCCUAAAUGCAUUUUGAUUCAUUAUUAUUUUUUUAUCCGUUCAAAUGCCUCUCCUGUGAAGUAGUGGCGUGAGACAUACGCCUAGCUUCCUGAAACGGGUCACAUAUGCCCAUUCCACCCUAUCGAACGCUUUUUCAGCAUCUAAUGAUUCUGCCACUUUUGGAACAUUUCAAAUUCCUGCAAACUUGGUGUUGGAGUCGUGCAUGGCCACACAGUCGUGGGUGAACAGGGAGUACAGAUGGGGACUAAGCACACACCCCCGAGGGCCCCUGUUUUUAUGGUCAGCAUGGUGGAUGUGUUGCCUACCGGCUACUGAAGGCUACACUCAGACAAGGCUGGUGGUCUGCUGUUGGCCACCCAUCUCUGUGUGAUUGAGAUAUGUGUGGUACAGUAUCUGCCGAUUUUAUAUCGUUUUUUUUUUUUUAGGUAAUGAAAAACAUUUUUUUUUAUACAAAUUGUGCUCCAAAGGAUUAAUAGACCCUAAAUUAUGAUUUCUUAACUACACUAAACAAAAAUAUAAAUGCAACAUGUAAAGUGUUGUUCCCAUGUUUCAUGAGUUGAAAUAAAAGAUCCCAG
rnacentral:lncRNA from 1 species